rnacentral:rRNA from 1 species
CGGGAAUAUUGCACAAUGGGGGAAACCCUGAUGCAGCGACGCCGCGUGAGUGAUGAAGUCCUUCGGGAUGUAAAGCUCUUUCGACGGGAACGAUAAUGACGGUACCCGGAGAAGAAGCUGCGGCUAACUACGUGCCAGCAGCCGCGGUAAUACGUAGGCAGCAAGCGUUGUUCGGAGUUACUGGGCGUAAAGAGUAUGUAGGCGGUUGGGUAAGUUUGAUGUGAAAUCUCCUGGCUUAACUGGGAGGGUGCGUCGAAGACUGCCUAGCUCGAGUGCGGGAGAGGAAAGCGGAAUUCCUGGUGUAGCGGUGAAAUGCGUAGAUAUCAGGAGGAACACCUGCGGUGUAGACGGCUUUCUGGACCGUGACUGACGCUGAGAUACGAAAGCGUGGGUAGCAAACAGGA